GGUCCAAUGGUCUAGUGGUUAUGAUUUCUGUCUUACACACAGAAGGUCUCCAGUUCGAUCCUGGAUUGGACCA
rnacentral:tRNA from 4 species